CUUGGUCAUUUAGAGGAAGUAAAAGUCGUAGCAAGGUCUCCGUAGGUGAACCUGCGGAGGGAUCAUUACAAGUGACCCCGGUUUACCACCGGGAUGUUCAUAACCCUUUGUUGUCCGACUCUGUUGCCUCCGGGGCGACCCUGCCUUCGGGCGGGGGCUCCGGGUGGACACUUCAAACUCUUGCGUAACUUUGCAGUCUGAGUAAACUUAAUUAACAAAUUAAAACUUUUAACAACGGAUCUCUUGGUUCUGGCAUCGAUGAAGAACGCAGCGAAAUGCGAUAAGUAAUGUGAAUUGCAGAAUUCAGUGAAUCAUCGAAUCUUUGAACGCACAUUGCGCCCCCUGGUAUUCCGGGGGGCAUGCCUGUUCGAGCGUCAUUUCACCACUCAAGCCUCGCUUGGUAUUGGGCAACGCGGUCCGCCGCGUGCCUCAAAUCGACCGGCUGGGUCUUCUGUCCCCUAAGCGUUGUGGAAACUAUUCGCUAAAGGGUGCUCGGGAGGCUACGCCGUAAAACAACCCCAUUUCUAAGGU
rnacentral:rRNA from 1 species